GCUCCCAGCCCCCUCUUCACCCCCCGGGCGCCCUCGCUCCGUCUCGCAGCUUCGGCUCGUCCCGUCCUUGCUCCACACGGUUCUGACUCUGCCGAAGCCUUGACUAGAGAGGAAGGUCCAGGACUUCCUGUAUAAAGCAGGUAUCCUCUGGCUUGAUGAACAUGAGUCUGGAACAAAUUAAAAGGACUUUUUCCAGAAAAUGAUAUGAGAUUCCUGGCAGAUGAUUAGAUUGGCAAGUAAUAAGAGCAGAUGUGAAAAUAUAUAUCAAGAGCAAAUUAGAAAAACUCAAUAUUGGGGCGCCUGGGUGGCUCAGUUGGUUGGGCGUCCGACUUUGGCUCAGGUCAUGAUCUCGCCGUUUGUGAGUUUGAGCCCCGCGUCGGGCUCUGUGCUGACAGCUCCGAGCCUGGAGCCUGCUUCGGAUUCUGUAUCUCCCUCUCUUUCUCUCCCUCCCCUGUUCAUGCUCUGUCUCUCUCUGUCUCAAAAAUAAAUAAAAACAUUAAAGAAAAGAAAAGAAACACUCAAUGUAUAUAAUGAUACCAAAUAAUAGUAAGGGGGUGGGGGUCAAUGAAAUCACACACAUGGUGCUUGAAGUAUAGCUUGGUUUGAUGACUUUGGAGAGCAAUUUGGGAAUCCUUUGUAAAGUUGAAGAUCAUCUACCUUACCAAGACACUACUCCAUCUCUCUACCCUAGAACAACCCAGGCAUUUGUGCACAGGGAUAUUCUUUUAGAAAAUUUGUAAUACAGGAAAUAAUCCACUUAACAAUGAAUAAAUAGAGGCACCUGGGUGGCUCAGUUGGUUAAGUGUCUGACUUCUCAUCUCUGCUUAGGUCAUGAUCUCGGGGUUCAUGGGAUCGAGCCAUAUGUUGGGCUCUGCGCUGAAAGCACUGAGCCUGCUUGGAAUCCUCUCUCUGCCUCUCUCUCUCUCUCUCAAAAUAAGUAAACAAACUUAAAAAAACCCAGUGAAUAUUUUUAUUUAUUCAAACAGUUAGUAUGCAAGAUUUAUAAUGAAUGGUCCAGGUCUACACGAGUAGACAGUUAAUUUCAAAAAUGCAAUGCUGAGUUAAGAAAAAAAAGUGCAUUGUAAACGAUACUUAAAGUAUAAUUUAUGUAAAAUUUAGCAAUAGUACUAUUUAUGGAAUCUAGAUACAUAAUAAAAGUAAAAAAAAAAAAAGCCAUGAACACAAUACACACCAACAAUAGGAUAGUAGUUACUACUGGGGAAGAAAAUGGCAGGUUGAGGAUAUAGACAUUAUCUGUAGCAUUUUACUUUUUAGAAAGCAAAGUAAGAAUUAAAGUAGAGAAAGCAGAGUAUUAACAUACGUUAAACUUGGCAUUUUAGCAUUGCUUCAUUUACAUGUGUCUUUCACAUUAUCUUUUGUACUCUCUUAUGUUUAAAUGGUUUCCUGAUUAAAAAGAAAAAUAAUUUCUAAUUACCCACUGUGAAGGACUGAGUUCAACCAGGUGAAUAUAACUCCCAUUGGUUUAAAACCAAAGUAGGGGAAUUAAAGAGGUUUUCUCUUAAGCUGGCCAAGGAAUAGCAAGAGGAAUAAUUUGUCAAGGAAUGAACUUUGAAAAUAGACCAGGAUACAUUGUUCUUUUCAUGGGAAAUUAUUCUGAUACAGUCUUCUUUUAAAAAAAAUCUUGAUGAAUUAACUUGUCCAGUGCUUAUAUUUUUCUCAGCAAUAAAAAGUAAUGAUAACAAUAUUGCAUAACACUUGAUGAGCCCUUAUUAUAUUCAGAUUCUACUAAAUUAUUUCUAUACUUUCUCACCUAAUUCUCACAAUGUCUCUGUGAAGUAGGUAUUAUUAUAAACCACUUUUAAAGAUGGGCUAAGUACUUUCCCUAUUCACAUAGUAGGGCUAGUGCAUUACUGGCAAGAGUAACCAUUAGUAUCAUUUACUCUGUGAGAACAACGAAUUAAUAAGUAAGUCUGAAAUAUUUAAGGUAAUGGAAACGGUCCUUCCAGCAUCCCUCUGUCCUCAUUUUGUAUUGGAUUACUCCAUCGGUUGCUACUGAAGUAGUUUGAUAAUUAACUUUAGGGAGAUUAAAUUUAUGUACUAACAGACCGUGUGCCAUCCCCAUUGAAUAUUCUAUUUAAUGGUCCUGUUUUUGUUUCAGUGUUAGGAAGUUAAAAACUAAUUUUUGAAUAUGUAAACAUUAGUUUAGAUUAACAGGCAUCUGUCUGAAUGGAAAAGAUAUGCCUACAUCUAAAUUUUCUUCCAGCUCGAAAAAUUUUGUGUUUGUAUGGUUAGAUUGAUUAGAAACUAAUUAUACUUCUGAGAAAUAAUAAUCUUUUUAUUAAGAAAUAGGAAUAGUUCAUUUGAGCAUUUAAAGGAUCUUCAAAUUUAGAAACUGUAGGUAGAGUUUUAAUAUAUUAAAAUCAAAGCAGAAAUAUUGCCUAAAGUGUUACUCAAGUGUAUUUGUUGCUCUCAGAAAUUGGGAAAAGCUGGGGCAUCUGGAGCCUCAGUGUGUUAAGCAUCCAGCUCUUGGUUUCGGCUCAGGUUGUGAUCUCAGAGUUCAAGCCCUGCAUUGGGCUCUGAGCUGGCAGUGCUAAGCCUGCUUGGGAUUCUCUUUCUCUCUCU